GCUUCGAUCAGGAAGAGCUCAGAUCCCCUUUGAAACCCUUAAUUAAAAACUCUUUGAAAAAUAAAGCACUCUCUCACUCUUAGCUCUUACCAAGUUACCAUCGUCACUCAACUCUCAACUCCAUGGCAACCCUGGAAGAGCUCAGAUCCCCGCCGUCACCAGCACCGUUCUCGCUGCGCCGUUAGCCUCUCCUCCGCCUCGUCUCCUCCUCGUCACUAGCAUCGUCCUCGUUUACCUCGUCACUAGUGUCGUCCUCCUCACCGAUCUCCUCUGUAUCGUCCCCAGUGUGGUCUUCUCUGCUCUCCUUCCUUCUGGUUUCACCUUACUUUUGUCAUUGCCUUCCUGCUCUGGCCAUCUUCCUGCUCUGGCCACCAUGCCCUAACCCUCACCAUUGCGCUGGCCACCGUCUUCUUUGUCAUCCCUCCACCGCGCCUCUGCCUCGCAUCUACUACAUCCCUCGUUCGUGUUUGCCUCGCCAUUUCUGCUUUGCUCGAUUUUCCCUACUGGUGCGUUCGUUUCUGCCAUUCCCUGCCUCGCCGUUUUUGCUUCGCUCGAUUCUCUGCUGAGAGGAAUCUAUUGAUUGCCCCCAGGGUUUCUUUGAGGUUGUAAUAUUUAGAGAUGGGACAUAUCUAACCUUAAAAGAAGUUUUUGAGAGUUUGGACUAGACUGGAUAUGACCUCAAUGUUGACCUUUUGGACGUUCACACAGACAACAGUACAUUUCAUCGUUCUUAAAUAAAAUCCUUGUGGUCAAAGUAUGCUCAGGGAGAUAUUCCUAAAGCAGGAUAAUCUCAUUCAAGGUUGUUUCCUUGGCGAGCUGACAAAGCAAGUGUUUUUUGAUCUCGUUGCCAGUAAAUAUCAGGAAGCAAAGUGAAUGGGACCAAUUAGCUAGUUGGAUAGUAAAUAAUGAUCUGUACAGUGAGAAUGUUGUUUGGUUAAUUCAGCUUCCAAGGUUGUACAAUGUGUACAAAGAAAUGGGAAUUGUUACCUCAUUCCAGAACAUGCUUAAUAAUAUCUUUAUUCCUCCUUUGAGGUUACUGUUGAUCCUGAUUCACAUCUCAGCUUCAUGUUUUCUUAAAGCAGGCUGCAGAGGCUUGGAUUGAUGUUGAAAGAGUUCAUACAAUUGCAUUAGGAGCCAAGAAGAACUAGUGUCAUGAUGAUCUAUCUUUUUUUUUCCGGUUUUAAAUCAUGUUGUCGAGCAGGUUCAACAAUUGUGGACCUCACUACACCACACAAAGACAAGAUACUGAGACCUGGAAGAAACUUGCAAAAGAAACUCUGCAUUCAACAGGAUCCAGUUGCUGCAUCAUGCUCUAGGUGUAGAGAAUUGUGGUGUUCUUCUCUUCAAUAAAUCUGAGAUACUGGGUUAUGGUGAUUGUGGGGCUGCUGUGGUUGUCUAAUUUUAAGGUUGCAAUGAAGCUUCUUUCAGAUAGGGAAAAAUUCAUGCAAGUGCUUUGUUGCGGAGGGGAAUUUGGACCUUAAAUGAAAAUUUUUGCACCGAUUUCUCGUCGGUGCUUGAGGAGAAUCAUAAAUUCCUGGCUAGUAUUGGAAUGGAUAACUUGAACACUUAAUGCACAAAGUGGAGCAGUUUUAGGUUGAUUCUGAUCUUUUACUAAGUAUUUAGGUUGAUGAUCAUAUCUAUUAGUGUAAUUUGAUAUAUUAUGAGCAGUUCUAACUUGUAUUGUUUCUGUAUUUUUCUUCAGAUUUUAGUUUUGGAAUUUGAACUCGAGAUUUAUUUUGUAUUUGAGAAUUAGUUUUUUAAUGUAUAAAACAAUUAUAGUAAAUUAUAUAUGUCACUAACUAUUGUUUUAUUUGUCUUGUAAUAAAAAUUUCAUACUAUAUUUGUAGGUUUGGUAA